AGAACGAACGCUGGCGGCAUGCCUAAUACAUGCAAGUCGAACGAACUCUUCGGAGUUAGUGGCGCACGGGUGCGUAACGCGUGGGAAUCUGCCCCUUGGUUCGGAAUAACAGUUGGAAACGACUGCUAAUACCGGAUGAUGACGAAAGUCCAAAGAUUUAUCGCCAAGGGAUGAGCCCGCGUAGGAUUAGCUAGUUGGUGAGGUAAAGGCUCACCAAGGCAACGAUCCUUGGCUGGUCUGAGAGGAUGAUCAGCCACACUGGGACUGAGACGACGGCCCAGACUCCUACGGGAGCAGCAGUAGGGAAUA
rnacentral:rRNA from 1 species